UACGUAGGGUGCGAGCGUUAAUCGGAAUUACUGGGCGUAAAGCGUGCGCAGGCGGUUUUGUAAGCCAGAUGUGAAAGCCCCGGGCUUAACCUGGGAAUGGCAUUUGGGACUGCAAGGCUUGAGUGCGGCAGAGGAGACUGGAAUUCCUGGUGUAGCAGUGAAAUGCGUAGAUAAUCAGGAGGAAUACCGAUGCGAAGGCAGGUCUCUGGGC
rnacentral:rRNA from 1 species